AUAAUACUCCCUCCGUCCAGAAUUACUUGUUAUCAAAAUGGAUGAAAAUGGAUGUAUCUAGAACUAAAAUACAUCUAGAUACAUCCAUUUCAAUGACAAGUAUUUCCGGACGGAGGGAGUAUUUU
rnacentral:pre_miRNA from 1 species